AGGCCUGACCGUUUGUCCUUGAGCCGUAGUUGGUUAACAAUCCGCUAGCUGUCUUGCUCUGACUGGUGCACUGGACAUGAUUUCAAUAGUCAGCCAGACCAUGAUUGAGCUUAAGGAUUGUGCUGCGGAUGCAGCCUGUGCAGUUCCCGGAGAAAGUCACUGUCUUGGGCAAUGCGGUCUGGUAUCAGGUCUGGAUGAUCCUUGCCUGACUGCGGGUUUGUGUACACCUCAAUCCGACUCUGUGUCCUGAACAGAGGCCGCAGUGGUGCAGCGCUUGUGGACGAUCCAUCAACAUCCUGAAAGGUCAACACUACACCAAGCUGGGAAAAUUGAUCCUGAUAGUCAUCCCCAGGUAGUGGAAUGAAUGUACACUGAACUACAGAGGAAUCACACCCAAAUGACUUUCCUGCCACGACAUUAGUGUGUCCACUCGCGUAGGAAUUCCUUAGCAAACGUGCUCUUUUGCAUGGUGACUGUGGGCAUUUUUGCAAAACUUACGCUUUCAACACUGGAUUUUAAAGAGAAUACUUAAUAAAAUGUCGCUAACAGGACUUAUUUAUAUGAGAGAGACUAUCUGGAUGCGCAUUAAGUGUCACUUUGUGUCGUAAGCUGUUGAAGGAGCGAUUUGCGCCUUUUUAAGUGUUAAUUUUGGGUAGCCGGCUUGUAUCGGCUAGAAAGCUGCAAAUUAUGACUCUCAUCAUAAUAGCAUUAAUUUUUGUAAUUGCAAUGUGUAUGUUUAGAUUGUAAGUGAAGCUUUUAAUAAUAAUUUUCUUAAAAAACCUGAUUUUAUAUGCUGUCAGUGAGUUUUUUAUUGAAAAAAGUGCUUAAAAUUAAAAAAAAGUCUCCUAUUUCAUCAAGAAAAGUACACUGAUUCACAAUCAAUACAUUUAUUUGGGCCUUUUGCUGAUAUAUUGGUGAAUUUCGCAUGCAAUGAUACCAGUUUUUGCCAUAAAAGUUACGCGUAACAAUAAUUGGAGACACAAAAUCAGCUGUCGUCACUUAGACUAAAAAUCAUGCAUUCCGACUUGACUGCGGCCAAUUUAGUCACCGCUUUAAAUGGCCAUUUUAAGGCCUUUACCCCCAUCCGAAUGCACUGAAAUUGCAUAUUCAUUGUGGAAAUAGUUGAAAACUCAUGUGGAGAAAGUUUGAAAAAGAUGGGACAAAGUUGAGUUCCCUUAAAGGUUACAUUACACUAAAUCAUUGUGUAUCCCUCCGUGGUCCAUUCGAAAGUAGUGCCUAUUUCUAAGGAGUUCCUUUUCUCUUCUUGAAUAUAAGCCAUUUAACAAUGUGAGACAUGUCUUUUGUGGUUAUUUGUAAUAUCCUGUAUGUGUCUGGAGUACUUUGAUGCCUUGGAUUGGAAGCUAACUUAAAAGAUGAACUUUUGAGGGUGUGUUUUCUAUUGUGUGGGGCUUUUGUCGAAAUUAGGAUUCCAAAACGCGUUUUUCUACGGUGGGUUCAUUCGACAGCGAUUUACUUUCUUAGAAGUUGCGAGACGGUAUGUUUUUGAUUGCAAUUAUUGGAAGAUGACAGAUCCAUCUUUAAAAUGAUACCAGGUUCGGAAAAAUUGAUACGUUGGAAAGGCAAGAAAAAUGCUGUGAAAGUUGUCAGUUUUAUAAUGGGACCCUAUGGGAAUCGGAAUUAGUGUAA